AGUGGCGGACGGGUGAGUAACACGUAAGAAUUUGCCUUUAGGAGGGGGACAACAACUGGAAACGGUUGCUAAUACCCCAUAUGCUUUCGAGUGAAAUGGUUUUUCCGCCUAAAGAGAAGCUUGCGGCUGAUUAGCUUGUUGGUAAGGUAAUGGCUUACCAAGGCGACGAUCAGUAUCUGGUUUGAGAGGACGAUCAGACACACUGGAACUGAGACACGGUCCAGACUCCUACGGGAGGCAGCAGUGGGGAAUUUUCCGCAAUGGGCGAAAGCCUGACGGAGCAAUACCGCGUGAGGGAUGAAUGCCUAUGGGUUGUAAACCUCUUUUUUCAGGGAGGAACAAAAUGACGUGUACCUGAAGAAUAAGCAUCGGCUAACUCCGUGCCAGCAGCCGCGGUAAGACGGAGGAUGCAAGUGUUAUCCGGAAUCACUGGGCGUAAAGCGUCUGUAGGUGGUUUAAUAAGUCAACUGUUAAAUCUCGAGGCUCAACCUCGAAAUCGCAGUCGAAACUAUUAGACUAGAGUAUAGUAGGGGUAAAGGGAAUUUCCAGUGGAGCGGUGAAAUGCGUAGAGAUUGGAAAGAACACCGAUGGCGAAGGCACUUUACUGGGCUAUUACUAACACUGAGAGACGAAAGCUAGGGUAGCAAAUGGGAUUAGAUACCCCAGUAGUCCUAGCUGUAAACAAUGGAUACUAGA
rnacentral:rRNA from 1 species